rnacentral:rRNA from 1 species
GUCUACGGCCAUACCACCCUGAACGUGCCUGAUCUCGUCUGAUCUCGGAAGCUAAGCAGGGUCGGGCCUGGUUAGUACUUGGAUGGGAGACCAGUGCAAUCUAUGGUUGUAGAAG